GACGAACGCUGGCGGCGUGCUUAACACAUGCAAGUCGAACGGAAAGGCCUUUUCGGAGGUACUCGAGUGGCGAACGGGUGAGUAACACGUGGGUGAUCUGCCCUGCACUCUGGGAUAAGCCUGGGAAACUGGGUCUAAUACCGGAUAGGACCGCACUUUAGUGUGUGUGGUGGAAAGUUUUUUCGGUGUAGGAUGAGCCCGCGGCCUAUCAGCUUGUUGGUGGGGUAAUGGCCUACCAAGGCGGCGACGGGUAGCCGGACUGAUAGGUUGGUCGGCCACAUUGGGACUGAGAUACGGCCCAGACUCCUACGGGAGGCAGCAGUGGGGAAUAUUGCACAAUGGGCGCAAGCCUGAUGCAGCGACGCCGCGUGGGGGAUGACGGCCUUCGGGUUGUAAACUCCUUUCGCCAGGGACGAAGCGUUUUGUGACGGUACCUGGAGAAGAAGCACCGGCUAACUACGUG
rnacentral:rRNA from 1 species